AUCACUGAUGAAUUUGAUAUUUUUAUAUAUUUCUGAAAUGGCAAGAAAGGAAAAAAUAUAUUUUUAUUAGUAAUACGGAAGAUGGCGUCAUCACGUGAUUAAUUCUAACCAAUGAGACUGCUGGAACUGCAUCGCUAAUGAGCUGUCAUUCCGGAUUUGACUGCACCGCCCAGUUCUGCUUCAAACAGAUCAUUGGUUCUGCUCUUAUUCUUUGCCAUCUAGUCCUGAUUCCUGACUACAGGUCUUCAGGAUGACCAGGAACUACAGGACGGUUUGAGCUACACUCUGCAGGACGUUGGUCCUCCAUGACCAGGACUGGACAGCACUGUCCUAAAUAAACCUAAGGAGAGCCGCUCAGGCACAGGUCACUGCAUCUUUUGCU